AGAAGCUUGCUUCUUUGCCGACGAGUGGCGGACGGGUGAGUAAUGUCUGGGGAUCUGCCCGAUGGAGGGGGAUAACCACUGGAAACGGUGGCUAAUACCGCAUAACGUCGCAAGACCAAAGUGGGGGACCUUCGGGCCUCACACCAUCGGAUGAACCCAGAUGGGAUUAGCUAGUAGGUGGGGUAACGGCUCACCUAGGCGACGAUCCCUAGCUGGUCUGAGAGGAUGACCAGCCACACUGGAACUGAGACACGGUCCAGACUCCUACGGGAGGCAGCAGUGGGGAAUAUUGCACAAUGGGCGCAAGCCUGAUGCAGCCAUGCCGCGUGUAUGAAGAAGGCCUUCGGGUUGUAAAGUACUUUCAGCGGGGAGGAAGGGAGA
rnacentral:rRNA from 1 species